CCGCCUCCUGCAGGCACCGCCUCCUGCAGGCACCGCCUCCUCCUCUUCAUCGUCUCCAUCACACUGACUGUGAACAGUCCCUCUUCAUGAGCUCCAUGUCCCACGCCAGCUUCCACUUUCCACCAGAAAUACUUUGAACACUGAAUUACAGUAUUUUGAAAUACAGAUAAAGUGCAGUGGCUGAAUACUCACACAUAACAGUAAGGAAAACAUUCCCUGAAGCCAGGACGACCUUCUCCCGCGUCGCCCGGUCGUAGAUGCCCACGUGGCAUUCGUACGGCCCGUUGUCUGAGAUCCGAACCUCCGGGAGCCUGUGGAACACAAGAGUUACUCUACAAAGCCGAGUCCUGGUCCAGGAUCCCGACCGCCGCAUUCACAGAUUCAAACAAGAGCAAAGAAAAGAACCCGCGGAGAAGAUGAUGCCACAAGAAGAAGAAGGGAGAGGCCUCAAAGAAAUCCACCGACCACAGCGUUUCUGAGCAGAGGCCUGCUCCUGAAGUCGGCAGCGGUUCGACGUGUCCGUCAGAAUUAUCAGAGCAGAAGAGGAGAAGGUUUAACACCGAACAUCGAGGCUUCUGUUGAAUAUCGCGACUGGUGGGAUGAAUCUUUCAACACUUUCAAGUCAGGCCUUUGACGAGGACACGUGACUCCGACUCUCCUUUUCC